AUAUUGAUUUAAGAAAGUAUAGAAAAUAUUUUUUUUUUUUUUUGGAGAGUGGGUAGCACUCUACCCGCUUCGUUUAUUUCUAAAUAUUUCAUUUAGAAAUAAACUUAGUUAGAAAUGUGAAUCAAUUAGAAUUCGAACUUGGGUCUCGAGUACUAACCACCAAACCUUUUGCCACUUGCUCUAGGGACAGUCGGUAGUAUAGAAUAUAGUUAAAAAC
rnacentral:lncRNA from 1 species